rnacentral:rRNA from 1 species
UACGUAGGGGGCAAGCGUUGUCCGGAAUCAUUGGGCGUAAAGAGCGCGUAGGCGGCCCGAUAAGUCCGCCGUGAAAGUCCAGGGCUCAACCCUGGAAUGCCGGUGGAAACUGUCGGGCUGGAGUCCGGAAGAGGCGAGUGGAAUUCCUGGUGUAGCGGUGAAAUGCGCAGAUAUCAGGAGGAACACCAAUGGCGAAGGCAGCUCGCUGGGACGGUACUGACGCUGAGACGCGAAAGCGUGGGGAGCAAACAGG